rnacentral:lncRNA from 1 species
AGCAACUUCAGGAGGAACUGCGUAAGUGUAGCCUUUCCUGAACUGUUCUGUGGUUUGAGUUCGCUUGGUUAUCUAUUAUCUGAGGACAUUGACCUCUGUCUGUUGCUUGCAGGAUGGAGGAGAACSCUCUUACAUGCUGCGGACGUGGUCCUGGACCCCGACACGGCUCACCCCGAGCUCUUCCUGUCAGAGGACCGGAGAAGCGUGUGGCGGGAGGCCUCCCGGCAGAGCGUGCCCGACAACCCCGAGAGGUUCGACUGCAGGCCGUGCGUCCUGGGCCGCGAGAGCUUCUCCUCCGGGCGCCAGUUCUGGGAAGUGGAGGUGGGCCGCGCCAUGGUGUGGGCCGUGGGCGUGUGCGCCGACGGCGUGGAGAGGAAGGGGGACGCCCUGCUGCUGCCCCAGAAUGGCUUCUGGACCCUGGAGAGGUUCGGCCACCAGUACCGGGCCCUGUCCUCGCCCGAGAGGACCCUCCCUCUGGGGGAGCUCCUCGAGCGCGUGGCCGUCUUCCUGGACUGCGAAGCCGGAGACGUGUCCUUCUACAACAUGAGAGACAGGUCCCACAUCUACACCUGUCCGCGCUCCACCUUCUCCGGACCUCUGAGGCCCUUCUUCAGGCUGGGUUCCGAUGACGGCCCCCUCUCCAUCUUCCCAGUGUUCACAGGGGCCCGGGGGGCCACCGUUCCCGAGGAUGGCCUGAUCCUGCACAACCCAGGGACCCCUAGGAGGGGUGUCUCAUAGGGCCAAUUCCUUGGCCUCAGUGCCUUGUCCACUACCCUAAGGCACCCUGGGGAAUACAGUCCUCCUCCCCCUGGUCCCCUGAGAACUCAGCUCCCCUGCCUCCUCCUCCUUAGGCCCACCCCAGUGCUGUCACAGGCCGGGCUGCUGGUGAGUACAGGCAGGGCCCCGGGCUCGCGAACUAAGCUCCUGGCCAAGAGCAAAGUGUAAGAGGCUAAAGGACAGAAAACCUGUGGCUUCAGCAUCAAGGUGACAAGGCUGAGCCCGACACUCCAGACACUGGGCAGUUGGGGCAAGGGCCAUAGGAUGCACCAGGAUGUAAGAGGAAGGAGGGACCACAGAUGGCCACCCAGRUGGCCCAGGAACAAGAGAGCUGGGUGGGGUGAGGUUAAGCCCCGCCCUGACACCCAUGGCCCCUGGAGCUGAUGGCAUUCCCACCCCACUCCAGGAUUUCCAGACCACACAAGGACGCCCACACCACAUAUCYGCAGGCCUGGACCUGGAUGAGGAGGAAUGAAGGACAGUAGUUCCUUUGGURGGUCUGGYUCAGGAGUCGGUGCAGCAACCCAGRAGCUGUACUCAGUCUUUGAUGAGGGGAUGAGGUCCCGCUGAGCAGGUGACCCAAUCCACCACAGGGCUCAGGGCAAGUGGGGACAGCAGCUGUUUCAAGCUUCUUGGUCUCAGGAUGACUUUAGACACUUAAAAAUUAUUGAGGAACCCAAAGAGCUUUUGUUCUUUUGGCUUAAUAUCUGCUAUUAUUUAUGGCAUUUGAGACUGAAACUGAGAAAUUUAAAAAGUGUAUUUAUUAUUAAAACAACAAGAAUAAACCAACUAUAGGUAAUCA